rnacentral:rRNA from 2 species
GUUUCAUUUGAAGCAACGCGAAGAACCUUACCAGGUCUUGACAUCCUCUGAAAACCCUAGAGAUAGGGCUUCUCCUUCGGGAGCAGAGUGACAGGUGGUGCAUGGUUGUCGUCAGCUCGUGUCGUGAGAUGUUGGGUUAAGUCCCGCAACGAGCGCAACCCUUGAUCUUAGUUGCCAUCAUUAAGUUGGGCACUCUAAGGUGACUGCCGGUGACAAACCGGAGGAAGGUGGGGAUGACGUCAAAUCAUCAUGCCCCUUAUGACCUGGGCUACACACGUGCUACAAUGGACGGUACAAAGAGCUGCAAGACCGCGAGGUGGAGCUAAUCUCAUAAAACCGUUCUCAGUUCGGAUUGUAGGCUGCAACUCGCCUACAUGAAGCUGGAAUCGCUAGUAAUCGC